rnacentral:rRNA from 1 species
AGGGAAUAUUGGGCAAUGGGCGAGAGCCUGACCCAGCCAUGCCGCGUGCAGGAAGAAGGCCUUCUGGGUUGUAAACUGCUUUUGAUCGGGAACAAAGCGUCCUUGCGAGGAAAGAUCAGUGUACCGAUAGGAUAAGCACCGGCUACAUCCGUGCCAGCAGCCGCGGUAACACGGAGGGUGCAAGCGUUGUCCGGAUUUAUUGGGUUUAAAGGGUGCGUAGGCGGCUAAUUAAGUCAGUGGUGAAAUCCUUCAGCUUAACUGGAGAACUGCCAUUGAUACUGAAUAGCUUGAGUAUAGUUGAGGUAGGCGGAAUUGACGGUGUAGCGGUGAAAUGCAUAGAUAUCGUCAAGAACACCGAUUGCGAAGGCAGCUUACUAAACUAUAACUGACGCUGAGGCACGAAAGCGUGGGGAUCAAA